rnacentral:rRNA from 1 species
CCUACGGGAGGCAGCAGUGGGGGAUAUUGCACAAUGGGGGAAACCCUGAUGCAGCGACGCCGCGUGUGGGAAGACGGUCCUCUGGAUUGUAAACCACUGUCCCCAGGGACGAAGAUGACGGUACCUGGGGAGGAAGCUCCGGCUAACUACGUGCCAGCAGCCGCGGUACUACGUAGGGAGCGAGCGUUGUCCGGAAUUACUGGGUGUAAAGGGAGCGUAGGCGGGACUGCAAGUUGGGUGUCAAAUCUACCGGCUCAACCGGUAGCCGCACUCAAAACUGCAGUUCUUGAGUGAAGUAGAGGCAGGCGGAAUUCCUAGUGUAGCGGUGAAAUGCGUAGAUAUUAGGAGGAACACCAGUGGCGAAGGCGGCCUGCUGGGCUUUGACUGACGCUGAGGCUCGAAAGUGUGGGGAGCAAACAGGAUUAGAUACCCGAGUAGUC